rnacentral:lncRNA from 1 species
AAAUACCACUGGUAUCAGUCCAGUUCAGUUAAUCAGCUCAGUUCAGUUAAUCAGUUCAGUGUCUUUUAUAUGGAAGUAGGAUUCAACACUGAGCGAGCCUAGGGAUGGGGACUCACCUGCUAGAUAGGUCUGAGAUCCCUAGAAGUAAUCCCUAAGUUCCAGAACUACAUUGCUAGCGUAUGUACGAGAUGUCACCCAUUAGAUAGGACUGACA